rnacentral:rRNA from 1 species
AACGAACGCUGGCGGCAGGCCUAACACAUGCAAGUCGAACGCCCUAGCAAUAGGGAGUGGCAGACGGGUGAGUAACACGUGGGAACGUGCCCUUCGGUUCGGAAUAACUCAGGGAAACUUGAGCUAAUACCGGAUACGUGCGAGAGCAGAAAGAUUUAUCGCCGAAGGAUCGGCCCGCGUCCGAUUAGCUAGUUGGUGAGGUAAGGGCUCACCAAGGCGACGAUCGGUAGCUGGUCUGAGAGGAUGGCCAGCCACACUGGGACUGAGACACGGCCCAGACUCCUACGGGAGGCAGCAGUGGGGAAUAUUGGACAAUGGGCGCAAGCCUGAUCCAGCCAUGCCGCGUGAGUGAUGAAGGCCCUAGGGUUGUAAAGCUCUUUCGCCAGGGACGAUAAUGACGGUACCUGGAUAAGAAGCCCCGGCUAACUUCGUGCCAGCCGCCGCAGUAA